UACGUAGGUGGCAAGCGUUUGUCCGGAUUUACUGGGCGUAAAGAGCGCGCAGGCGGUCGAUCAAGUCGCGUGUGAAAGCCCCCCGGCUCAACUGGGGAGGGUCACGCGAUACUGAUCGACUCGAAGGCAGGAGAGGGUAGUGGAAUUCCCGGUGUAGUGGUGAAAUGCGUAGAUAUCGGGAGGAACACCAGUGGCGAAGGCGGCUUCCUGGACCGACACUGACGCUGAGGCGCGAAAAGCUGAGGGGAGCAAACGGGGGAUUAAGAAACCC
rnacentral:rRNA from 1 species